AGAGAAAUGACAAAUGUCCAAUGAUUUUCAGGAGUAGGAGUAGCUUAAUGCUACAGUAUGAGUGGACAGGAUGUAUCCCAGCUAGAGAGAGAACUGAGUAUUGCAGAAUCAUCAUUAGCGUUCCUGAGAAAAGAACAUCAGAAAAUAUUGACUGGUCUUCAUCAUGAAAUAGCAAGACUUACACAAAAAUGUUCAGAACUUCAGUUUUCUGUAACCCUGCAGGGACAAGUAGCAUCUACAGAAGAAUUGCUCAAAGAGAAACUAAGGAUUCUAAAACUAGAGUAUGACGUAAGUCAGGAGAGAUUGCGAGAUCUAGAGAAGAAGGUGAAGAAGGGGGAGGAGAGGGAGAGAGAGAUGGUGCAGCAGAGGGCCUGGGACAGGAUACAGAUGGAGAACCAGAUUGAAAGUUUAACUCUACAACUAGAAGACAAAAAUCAACGCUUAGCUGAUCUAAAACGCCAGGUGGUAGUUGAGGUUGAUAUUGCCAAACUUCAAGCUAGAGUCAAAGAAUUGUACAAAGAUGGAAACGCUUCUAAUCAAGAGAAAAUCCAAGAAAUUUCUAGAAAAGCCAGAAGUCCAGAUGGUUCAAAGGGUUUCUCUGAGAAAGAUGAUAUUGUGAUUAGGGCUCCGAGUAUAACCCCUAGAUCUCUUUUGAACUCUAGCGACCCUUUGACCCCCAUACCCUCCUCAACCUUGACCCCCAUACCAUCCUCGACCUUGACCCGAGAUGACCCCAGCGAACCUGUCGACCGGGGUAAAGAUGUAGUCCGAGAAAAUCGACGAUCUAAAGUGUUUCGACAUCAUCUCAAGCGAAUUGACGACAAAGUGUACACUGAUCCAAAUCGUCUUAGUUUAUUAACAUCUCGUAGAACAGAAGCAUUAACAAGUGAUUUAACCCCAGAGGAAGCCUCGUCCCCAAGCCUUUACAGUCAUUCUAAUCCACCACUAUCCCUUGCUAUGAAGGGAUUUGAAAAAGCAGAAUCAAAGUAUAACUCACUGCCGCCUGAUUAUAAAGCGCCAGUGUCAACUCUGCCACCUAUCGGUGGUUUUGUUAAACAAUCUGGACCUGCAGGAAUAGAGGUAGAACAGGUUCUCACGCAGGAGGGAAUGUUUUCAAACUAUUCAGAAAAAAACUCUGACUCUGUUGUUUAAAGGGAACGGAGACGCAAUUACAAGUGACCCCCGUUAACAGAGUUUCAUGAUUGAUUCACACUGAUACCCUAUAAACCAUUUUCCAUAGUUUGUCUGUCUUAAAUUCUAAUAGUCUCCUUUAAUUUUUAUAAAGAACCUUCAAUUGAACAUUACUAGUUUUCAGAAAGAAAAAACAAUGAUAUCUUAUUUUUUCACAAAACAAUUAAAGGGUAUCUUUGUAAAAUUGGCUUGAAAGUAUUCUCUUUAACUGGAUAUUCACCAGAAAUUAUAGGUCUACUCUCCCUUUAAUAAAAUACUAAAUAUUUUGUGAUAAAUUAACCAUUUGAGAUUUUCUAGCUCAAAAUUUGACUAUUUUUCAUCUCGAAAUGUUGUUUUUAAUUGCUAAUAAUUAAAUUGUUAUUGGCAAUAAAAAAGAAUUAAAAAUGCUUUAUACCAAUACUCAAUUUUGUUAUCAUUUCAAGUUUUGUUAUUAUAAUGUUGUUGUUAUCAAUAUUUCCUGUUAUUUAUAAAGUUGGUGUUUAAGCUGCUGUCAAAAACUAAGUGCCCUUUAAAUAGACUGUAAAAGUAAUUUCUAUUCAUGACCCUCCAUAUUUACGGAGAAAAACAAAAACAUUGGAAUGUUUGUUGUGAAUUACGUCGAAAUUUUCUAAAAACUUGUGGUUUUUGUUAAUAUCAAAUGUAGCCAUCCAAUUGUAUUCAUUAGCUCCUAGAACUAAAUGCAAAGGUAUUGAGGUAGUAAGAAAGUAAAUUCAAAAUCAAAUAAAAGGAACUGUAGGUGUAAUUUUAAAUGACUAUCCAUGCAAAGAGAACACUGCUUGUUUUCCACUGAAAAUUUUGUGUACGCUGUGUUGAGUUCAGACUGUACGUAACAGAAUACAUGCGGGUUUUGAUAAGUUUACACACACAUAACUCUCACGUGUACGCUGUGUUGAGUUCAGACUGUACGUAACAGAAUACAUGCGGGUUUUGAUAAGUUUACACACACAUAACUCUCACGUGUACGCUGUGUUGAGUUCAGACUGUACGUAACAGAAUACAUGCGGGUUUUGAUAAGUUUACACACACAUAUCUCUGUACACGACGAACACGCAAACCGUAGUAAAUUGGGCCCUCUUUGCAUAGACUGACACGUGAAAUCACAUUUACAGUUCCUUUAAUAUCUGUCUUUUUUUUUGACAGAAAUAAUUUUUUAUUUGUUUUUACAGCUGCCUAUAAUUGAUCAAACUAUUAUCAUUAUUCAGUUCCUUUGCUCAAGAAACCCCCGUAAUUUUAGACAUGUAUCUCUCAUGCAGCAAUAAAAUGUUUAUUUAUGUGAUUUUACAUAUUCUGUUCACUACUUCGUGAUUUCAAUUUUACAAAAUGUUAAGAAACGUCACAUUAUUGACAAAGAAAUUGAUUCUUUGCCACAAACUCUGA
rnacentral:misc_RNA from 1 species